rnacentral:lncRNA from 1 species
CAUCAAUGCAGUUUGAACAUCACCACCCAAAUAGCCACCCAUGACCACAGAAAGCAAAUGUUGCAUCAUCACAUGGGAGUUAUGACUUUUCAUGCCAGAGAUAUUAUCGUUAUUAUUUUCACCACACCAUGAUAUAUUUGAAGUAUUGCAUCAGAAAACUUUACGAUUUUGAACCAUCCACAGAAAUUCUUCUUUUCCUCACCAAACAGUGAAUAACAUGUAGGUGGCAUAAAAAAUCUCUUACCUCGAUGAACUAAAUGCAACUCCGAUCGGAUUCUCAUUUUCUGCAAAUCAAGAUGAACUUUUGUACCAUCUUUUAUUUUUUCUAGAAUGUUCAAUACAGUACCGAUGAUAUUAUCAUAAAUAUUCUUUUCAAUGUGCAUUACAUCUAGAUUAUGAUAAAGUAGUAGCUGCUACCAAUAUGGUAGUUCGAAAAAGAUGCUUCACUUCGUCCAAUUCAGCUCACCUUCAAUACAUUUUUGCUUGGAGUACCCGAUAUUUUUUUUAAAUUAGAUAUUUUCAAUGACUUCAAGUUGAUCUAAAAUUUCUGUUCUACUUAACUCCUUAGGUGGCGAAUGUCGGUCAGACUUACCAUCAAAAUAUUUGUUAUAACGGAUCCUCCAAGAAUGAUUAGCAAGAAGAAACCGUCGAUGACCCAUGAAACAUAUUUUUUGUCCGUGCUUUAAAUGUAAGGAGAAUGCAUCCCUAUUGCAUAUUGGACAUGCAAGAUAUCCUUUGGUGCUCCAUCCAAAUAAGUUUUCAUAUACAGAAAAAUCAUUUAUGGUCCAUAGAAUCGAAGCAUACAACUUAAAAUUACUUCGAUUCAUAGAAUCAUAUGUUUGUACCCCAUUUUCCUAUAGCUCCUUCAGAUCAUCGAUUAAAGGUCAUAGAUAUACAUCAAUUUCAUUACCUGAUGCUUUCGGACCCAGAAUCAAUAGUGACAUAAAAAAAAUGGUUCUUUCAUGUACUUCCAAGGUGAC